AGUACGGCCGCAAGGCUGAAACUCAAAGGAAUUGACGGGGGCCCGCACAAGCAGUGGAGCGUGUGGUUUAAUUCGUUACAAAGCGAAGAACCUUACCUAGGUUUGACAUGUGACUGCAAGCUGAUGGAAACAUCGGCCGCCUUCGAGGGUGUCACACAGAUGCUGCAUGGCUGUCGUCAGCUCGUGUCGUGAGAUGUUGGGUUAAGUCCCGUAACGAGCGCAACCCCUACGUUCAGUUGUAUCACUCUGGACGAACUGCCUCCAUACAAGGAGGAGGAAGGCGGGGAUGACGUCAAGUCAGCAUAGCUCUUACACCUAGGGCUACACACACCCUACAAUGGACCGGCACAACGGGACGCUAAGGAGCGAUCUGGAGCUAAUCCCACAAAACGGUCCUCAGUUCAGAUUGGAGUCUGCAACCUGACUCCAUGAAGUUGGAAUUGCUAGUAAUCGCGGAUCAGCAGGCCGCGGUGAAUACGUUCUCAGGUCUUGUACACACCGCCCGUCAAGCCAACAAAGUUGGGGGUACCCGAAGUCAGUUGUCUAACUCGCAAGAGGGGACGCUGCCGAAGGUGAACUCAGCGAUGGGGACUAAGUCGUAACAAGGUAGCCGUA
rnacentral:rRNA from 1 species